rnacentral:rRNA from 1 species
ACGUAGGCAGCAAGCGUUGUUCGGAGUUACUGGGCGUAAAGGGUGCGUAGGCGGUCCUAUAAGUAUGGUGUGAAAUCUCCCGGCUUAACUGGGAGGGUGCGCUAUAGACUGUGGGACUAGAGUGUGGGAGAGGAAAGUGGAAUUCCUGGUGUAGCGGUGAAAUGCGUAGAUAUCAGGAGGAACACCGGUGGUGUAAACGGCUUUCUGGACCAUAACUGACGCUGAGGCACGAAAGCGUGGGUAGCAAACAGGA